rnacentral:tRNA from 1 species
GGGCUGGUGGCGGAAUGGUAGACGCGACAGACUUAAAAUCUGUUGGCCGCAAGGCCGUGGGGGUUCGAGUCCCCCCCUGCCCA